rnacentral:rRNA from 1 species
UGCAGUCGAGCGAAUGACGAGGAGCUUGCUCCUCUGAUUUAGCGGCGGACGGGUGAGUAACACGUGGGCAACCUGCCCUGCAGACUGGGAUAACUUCGGGAAACCGGAGCUAAUACCGGAUAAUCCAUUUUACUUCAUGGUGAAAUGUUGAAAGGCGCUUUCGCGCCACUGCAGGAUGGGCCCGCGGUGCAUUAGCUAGUUGGUGGGGUAACGGCCUACCAAGGCGACGAUGCAUAGCCGACCUGAGAGGGUGAUCGGCCACAUUGGGACUGAGACACGGCCCAAACUCCUACGGGAGGCAGCAGUAGGGAAUCUUCCACAAUGGACGAAAGUCUGAUGGAGCAACGCCGCGUGAGUGAUGAAGGUUUUCGGAUCGUAAAACUCUGUUGUAAGGGAAGAACAAGUACGUUAGGAAAUGAACGUACCUUGACGGUACCUUAUUAGAAAGCCACGGCUAACUACGUGCCAGCAGCCGCGGUAAUACGUAGGUGGCAAGCGUUGUCCGGAUUUAUUGGGCGUAAAGCGCGCGCAGGUGGUUUCUUAAGUCUGAUGUGAAAUCUCGCGGCUCAACCGCGAGCGGUCAUUGGAAACUGGGGAACUUGAGUGCAGAAGAGGAUAGUGGAAUUCCAAGUGUAGCGGUGAAAUGCGUAGAGAUUUGGAGGAACACCAGUGGCGAAGGCGACUGUCUGGUCUGUAACUGACACUGAGGCGCGAAAGCGUGGGGAGCAAACAGGAUUAGAUACCCUGGUAGUCCACGCCGUAAACGAUGAGUGCUAAGUGUUANGGGGUUUCCGCCCCUUAGUGCUGCAGCUAACGCAUUAAGCACUCCGCCUGGGGAGUACGACCGCAAGGUUGAAACUCAAAGGAAUUGANGGGGCCCGCACAAGCGGUGGAAGCAUGUGGUUUAAUUCGAAGCAACGCGAAGAACCUUACC